UAUGUGAUCGUCUCUCGCAUAUCAAUAAGCGGAGGAAAAGAAACUAACAAGGAUUCCCUUAGUAACGGCGAGUGAAGCGGGAAGAGCUCAAAUUUGAAAUCUUCAAGGUUUUACCUUGACGAAUUGUAGUUUAAAGAAGUGUUUUCUGUUGAAGUUUUGGUAAAAGUUCUUUGGAAUAGGACAUCAUAGAGGGUGAGAAUCCCGUAUUUGACCAUUAUUUUCAGCUGUGUGAUACACUUUCAAAGAGUCGGAUUGUUUGGGAAUGCAGUCCAAAAUGGGUGGUAAAUUUCAUCUAAAGCUAAAUAUUGGCGAGAGACCGAUAGCGAACAAGUACCGUGAGGGAAAGAUGAGAAGAACUUUGAAAAGAGAGUUAAACAGUACGUGAAAUUGUCAAAAGGGAAGCGUUUGACACCAGUGUUGUUUUCUCGAAAAUCAAUUAAAAAGAGUUAGAUUUUGUUGUGUAUUGACCUUAACAGCUUGCAUUUCAAUUUUCUUGCUUUUUUUAAUGCACUUUUCGUUUAACAAGUCAACAUCAGUUUCUUUUGUUGUAAAAAGGUCAUUGGAAGGUGGCUUUCUUUUCGGAGAAAGUGUUUAUAGCCUUUGACUCCUGCAAUCGGAGAGACUGAGGUCUGCAGCGUAGAUCCUUCGGGGUUAGAUACAUCUGUGCUAAGUUAUAGCUUUUUAUAGACAACUUGUUGACUAUGAUUAGUCUUGUAGCUUACUCGCUUAUGCUAUUUUACCUACGCUUAGGAUGUUGAAGAUGUAGCACAUCAU
rnacentral:rRNA from 1 species